rnacentral:SRP_RNA from 1 species
CUGUGCUAGAUGGGGAGUUAGCGGUUUCCUGUAGCCUGAAAUCCGCUUAUGCAGGGUUGAAUCCCAAGAGGCGGGUCUUUAUGAGCUAAAUAUUAGUUAUAAGCGGUGUUGAUUUUUCAGCCCUGCGCAAUAUUUGGAUUUCAAACCCCGUCAGGUCUGGAAGGAAGCAGCGGUAGAGAUUUUUAAUAUGUGCCGUAGGUUACUGGAAAUGAGUUGGCUGUAAUUGAUCUUUUUCAAACCGAAGAUUCAACUUUUGGUGCACAG